rnacentral:ribozyme from 1 species
AUAGCUUCCAAAUCCAGGGAACCCUGGGAUAUUUUGAAUGGGUAAUCCUGAGCCAAAUCCGGUUCAUGGAGACAAUAGUUUCUUCUUUUCUUCUCCUAAGAUAGGAAGAGGUGCAGAGACUCAAUGGAAGCU